rnacentral:lncRNA from 1 species
CUGUGGCCCUGGGGUGUUCUGGGUCCUCGGCGUGUCACCGCGUGUGCUUGGCGUGUUCUGAGUCCUUGGUGUGUCACCACAUGUUCUUAGUGUGUGUUUGAGUCCUUGGUGUGUCACCGCGUGUGCUUGGUGUGUGUUUGAGUCCUUGGAGUGUCACUGUGUGUUCUUAGUGUGUUCUGAGUCCUUGGUGUGUCACCGCGUGUGCUUGGUGUGUUUUUGGGUCCUUGGUGUGUCACCACGUGUGCUUGGCGUGUGUUUGAGUCCUUGGUGUGUCAGCACAUGUCCUUGGUGUGUCAGCACAUGUGAUUGAUGUGUUCUGGGUCCUUGGUGUGUCACCGCGUGUGCUUGCUGUGUGUUUGAGUCCUCAGUGUGUCACCGCGUGUUCUUAGUGUGUGUUUGAGUCCUUGCUGUGUCACCACAUGUCUUUGGUGUGUCCCUGUGGCCCUGGCGUGUUCUGAGCCCUUGGUGUGUCACUCUGUGUGCUUGGCAUGUUAUCACCUGUGCUUGGUGUGUUCUGGGUCCUUGGUGUGUCACCACAUGUCCUUGGGGUGUCAGCACGUGUUCUUAGUGUGUGUUUGAGUCCUUGGUGUGUCAGCACGUGUGUUUGGUGUGUUCUGAAUCCCGGGUGUGUCAGCACAUGUGCCAGAUGUGUUCUGAGUCCUUGGUGUGUCAGCACGUGUGCUUGCUGUGUUCUGGGUCCUUGGUGUGUCAGCACGUGUGCUUGCUGUGUUCUGGGUCCUUGGUGUGUCAGCACGUGUGCUUGCUGUGUUCUGGGUCCUUGGUGUGUCAGCACGUGUGCUUGCUGUGUUCUGGGUCCUUGGUGUGUCAGCACGUGUGCUUGCUGUGUUCUG